ensembl:lncRNA
AAAGGAAAGGAAAGGAAAGGAAAGGAAAGGAAAGGAAAGGAAAGGAAAGGAAAGGAAAGGAAAGGAAAGGAAAGGAAAGGAAAGGAAAGGAAAGGAAAGGAAAGGAAAGGAAAGGAAAGGAAAGGAAGCUCACAGUUUCUGACAUUAACAGAUAACGUGCAUAAAUAUUGCAGGUAGAUUUAGAAGGGAUGUAAUUGCAGUUUUAACCCAGACAGCAAACAGUAUUGUCUCCACAAGGUACUUUUGAUUUCCUCCUGCAAAUUUAGUCUCCAAAUUCCAUAACAAGCCCAUAUCUUUGUACAAGAGAGCAUUUUAUAGGUCAAGUUAAAAAAAAAAAAAUCGAAUAAAAUGUAAUGCCUGUCGUCUUAGGGAGAAACAAGGGCUGAGGGAAGGCCUUUCCAGGCCCACUUUUAAACAGAGCUCACAAUACACCAGGCGAACAUUGUGGAUUUAAAAUGCUUUUAAAUAUUUAUCACAAGUAUUUUAUUGCCAUAUUCAAAUGACACCUGGAGUGCACUCACCUUUAUUGACAGUCGCUGUUCUUAAAGUCCAUUUGCUUCGCCGGAGCCCCCCAAGCAGAACAACGCGGGCUAACCGCUUUCAUUCAGUUAAUGUUUGGUAAAAAACCAAGCGACCUUAAUCAGCAUGCUGAUUGCAUCGUCAACUAACAAAUAAUUUACUACUCCGAGCAUUGCAUUCCAUUAAAAGCUCAUUAAAUUUUCUGUUCUCCAAUGGGAGCUUCAGCUUUUGAACUGCACGCUUUAGCUCCGAAUUAUCACUUCUUCCAUUUUCUUCUUUUUUUUUCUUUUUUACAAAAUGUUUAUUUUGUUCUUUUUAAAUUAUUACUAUUUUAUUUUAUUUUUUCAAAGCACAGAUGAUGAUUUCAAUACCCACAUCCAGGACAGUGGUGGGAAAAUAGAUCUCAGAUUAAUCGCUAUGAGAAACUCAGGACAUUGUGGGUCCAGGGGGUACAGAGGGAAACGACUGUGUUCUAUUCUUAGACAUUUCUAACUUCGGUGGAAAAAGCAUUCUCUGGGGGAGGCACAGUGCGUGGUUUGGGGGUGCGAAUGCUUUGAAUACUUCGGCAUUUAAAACACUGAAACAUUUUGUCCUGUAUGCAAAGCGAUCACAUAUCGGGAAAAAAGGGAGGAAAGAAAAAAAAGGGGGGGGGUUGGGGUGGGGGGGGUGGGGGAAGGAAAGAAAAACAAAUAACCCAGGGCCCUUCUCUUCAUCCGUGUAAACAAUGAACAAAGGGGGGGGGGGGGGGGGGGGGGGGGGGGGGGGGGGGGGGGGUGGAGAGAGCAACCCUUUGGGAUAUGGAACACAAAUCUUCUUGCCCGUCCUAAAAGUAUCAAGGACUCCAGACAUUUCCCAGGUGGGUUCGGAUGUCCAUCCGUCCAUUCGUCCGUCCCGGCGGCGGUCAGCAGGUGGCGGUUUUGCGGUACUUCUUCACUUGGCAGAACUUGGAGUUAGAGAAUAGAGUCAUAGAACCCUUAGAGUUGGAAGGGACCUCUGAGGGCAAGCUAGUCCAACUCCCCUGCAAUGAACAGGGUCAUCACAGCUACAUCAAGUUGCCCAGGGCCUGAUCCAGCCUCGCCUUCAAAGUCUCCAGGGACGGGACAUCAACCACAUCACUGGGAAAGCUGUUCCAGUGCCUCACCACCCUCACUACAGCUGGCACUCAAAGGGACGUGGAAGGGUGGAGCUGAUUGUGACAUAUUUACUCAAAAAAACCAAUUUUUAAAAAUUAAACCUAAAUGACGGCUGAAUAUCACAGAAGAAAUGAGAGGAGGAGAAAGCUUGAAGACCUGUCUGUCCACCAGAAAUGGAUGUUAUGAAAUGACAGACUCAAAUUUACCCAAUCUCAAUUAUCACAUUAGCAACAGAGCUACUGAAGCCUGCUUUCUUUUGUAUUUGUGUCUUGAACUUGGAUUUAUUCAUGUCUGAAUAAGAUAUGAGGGCCAGAUGACGCGUCACCUGUCCUGCGUGUGCUUCUCCACAUGGCUUUUAAUAAGGAGUGAGACACCACUGCUGUAGCUCCGGCGGUGGAGAACAACUCAUCAUCCUCAGUUCUCCCUGCCCACUGCAGCAAGAAGAUCAUGGCUGCAGAGGCAUGGAAAUGUCCCGUCUGCCGCGAUGUGCGACAGGAUGUUGCCUAUACAACUCCAUGCAAUCACAUGUUCUGCCUUGGCUGCAUCCAGCGGUGGGCAAGGCUGAGGGACAGCUGCCCGCUGUGCAGGACAGCUAUGCAGACCAUCCGGGUCUCUGUGAGGGGAGACAAUCAGUACGUGGAGUGCAUCGUCUCCCCGCCCGCAGUGCCAGUGCCCAUCAGCUUCAGCACCACCACUGACACUGGCCCUGAUAGCGCUGAGGAAUUCCUUCCACCCCCUCCACCACCAUUCCCUGAGCAGGAGGCUGAAGAGCUGGAGAGAGUGGGCGGCCUCGUGCCAGAGGAGUGGGCAGCACUUUUCAGGGAGAGGCAAGACAUUCUCAACCCAGUGCUGCCCUUGAUGGAGCAGCAGCUGUCACACAUCCACGUGCUGCGCUGGUGGCAAAUCAAGUGGCUAAAGAGCAUUAUCCUGGCAUUGCUGUGCCAGGUGGGGCUGGACAGGGAUGCCCUGGUGCAACACUUAGAGGGCAUCCUGGGACCCACCACAGGACAGCUCGUUGACAUCACCAUUGAAGCCAUCCAGAGACUGUGUGGCCAGGAGGCCCAGAGGCUGCUGGGCCUCGAAGACCCUAGUGCCAGCCAGGAGCACGAGGAUGAGCCCGAAGACCCCAGCGCUGCCCAGGAGCACGAGGAUGGCCCUGCGGCCCCUUCUGGUCCUGCUGCCUCUCCUCAGGAGACCACCGCCCCCAGAGCCGCGCCCACCAGCAGCUCCACGGGUCCCAACACAGAGGAGCUCCCCGGCACAUCCAGGGGAACUCCUGGCCAGCCGGGUCCCGAGGCUGCCGGUCCCUCUGAGCAGGGCCGCAGCCGCGGCUCCUCCGCUCGCG